GAUGAACGCUGGCGGCGUGCUUAACACAUGCAAGUCGAACGAAGCACUUAUCUUUGAUUCUUCGGAUGAAGAGGUUUGUGACUGAGUGGCGGACGGGUGAGUAACGCGUGGGUAACCUGCCUCAUACAGGGGGAUAACAGUUAGAAAUGACUGCUAAUACCGCAUAAGACCACGGAGCCGCAUGGCUCAGUGGGAAAAACUCCGGUGGUAUGAGAUGGACCCGCGUCUGAUUAGGUAGUUGGUGGGGUAACGGCCUACCAAGCCAACGAUCAGUAGCCGACCUGAGAGGGUGACCGGCCACAUUGGGACUGAGACACGGCCCAAACUCCUACGGGAGGCAGCAGUGGGGAAUAUUGCACAAUGGGGGAAAACCUGAUGCAGCGACGCCGCGUGAGCGAAGAAGUAUUUCGGUAUGUAAAGCUCUAUCAGCAGGGAAGAAAAUGACGGUACCUGACGAAGAAGCACCGGCUAAAUACGUG
rnacentral:rRNA from 1 species